CUCAGAGGAGGAGACCUACCCGACGGGGGGCCAAACCCCAACAAGUAAUUGCCUCUGGCUGGUUGACGUCAGUUAACGACUGGACUUUGUACCCAGAAGAGAGUUAAAGCUAAGGACGGUUGGAGAUAAAGUCAUUUCCUCCUUGGGUUGCCCAGCAAGGACGUCGAAAAUGAAAGGCCUUAUCCUCCUCGCUCUUCUCCUUUCCAUAAGCUCAGCCAUCCAGUCAGUCACUCCAAACUCAACUGCCGCCACAUCAACUCCUACCACAACUCCUACCACCACACCAACUCCUACCACCACACCAACUCCUACCACCACAUCAACUCCUACCACCAAACCAACUCCUACCACCACACCAACUCCUACCAUCACAUCAACUCCUACCACCAAACCAACUCCUACCACCACACCAACUCCUACCAUCACAUCAACUCCUACCACCAAACCAACUCCUACCACCACACCAACUCCUACCAUCACAUCAACUCCUACCACCAAACCAACUCCUACCACCACACCAACUCCUACCAUCACAUCAACUCCUACCACCAAACCAACUCCUACCACCACACCAACUCCUACCAUCACAUCAACUCCUACCACCAAACCAACUCCUACCACCACAUUAACUCCGACCACCACAUCAACUCCUACCACCAAACCAACUUCACCUAUUUCUACCUCAUUGGUAAGUAUGACUUCUGUAUCAAGUACAGUUUCAACCACCACUGUCACCACCAUCUCAGCUGGAAGUGGCAACUCAGACACAGCUACUACUUCAACAAUAUCAGUGACCAAUAACGGAUCAUCCGUCAACACAACCACACAGAAUAAUUCUUCAGCAGCUACUAGCAGUGUCAUUUCGUCCAAGACCAGCACCCCAACCAUUCCUUCCCCCCCAGGAGAUUUUUACAAAUAGCUUCAGCAUCCCUGAGAAGGCCAGAUCCAAAUAAAUGCUGUCUCUCCAGCCCCACUGGUCUACUUGCCUAAUCUACCCAAGGAAGGAGUCAGUUCGACCCUGGCUCCUUAACAGAGGUUAGUGAAAAAAGUUACAAUGGUGGCUGAUCACAGUUUGAAUUCAUAGAAUUUGAGCCUGAGGGAUAGAGAGCCAAACAACAGCAAUGCUCAAACAGUCCUAGACAUGGUUGGGGCCAUUGUCCAAAGGACCAAUGUUUUGGGAGUACUAAGAGAUGGCAAUUGACCUCAAGCCAAAAUUAUUGAAACCACUGCCUCAUUUCUGGAAGUUUCGUCUAGAACAGGAGCAAACCUCAUCAGUAAAGGCAAACUAGUAAAAAUGUUAGGUUUUGAGGGCCACAAUGGGGUUUCUUUCUGUUGCAACUACUCCACUCUGCCAUUUUAACAUGAAAGCCAUCAAGGUCAAUAUACAAAUGAAUGAGCCUGGCUGUAUACCGAUAAAACUUUAUUCACAAAAACUGAAGACCAGUCAGAUUUGGCUCAUAAGUCAUUGUCUGCCAACCCCUGGUCUAUAAUAAUCCUCAGAUCUAGGCUGGAAGGGUCUCAAUAGAUCCUGUCAUUCUCUGGGAAACUUGAGGCCCAGGAAGGGCAGCAAUUUGCCCAAGGUCAAAGAGCAAGCUGAUGUCUCCCCACACUGACUUCUUUUGGCUUCCCCCGUGUUCUUUGACAGAUCUACGAAAUGGAUGAUUAAGCAAGUAAAGCCAGGGCCUAUAUGUAAGACCUGGUUCCUAGUCUGCUUUCACGAGCGAAGGGCCCGCCCUGAAGGCUAGGCCCCCUGGGCCACAGCUGCACAACCAGCUCUAGUGGAGUCUAGUGGAGUCUGGGAGUCUAGUGGAGUCUAGUGGAGUCUUUCUAAGCCAUUUCUGCUUCUCCAGAUGUUCUCUCAGAGGAAGGCAGCCGCCUUAUGUUCUUGGCCUGACCACUAGCUCACUGUGGGGAUAGGGGCAGAUCACUUCUCUCUUGCCUUCAACUUCCCCAGCGUCAUAAGGUGUGAGUGAACUAAAUGGCCACCAAAAUCCCUUCCAGCUGUAACAUCCUGUGACCUUAUUCCUGGCACACAGAACCAGCUGACAGGUCUGUCCUUUAUUGCCAGAGAGAAAGCUUACCAGGAGUUCUUUGUCUGGUGUAUCCUGAGUGGAGUUGACUCAGUUUCUUCCCUAGCAUUUUCCAAAUCACCCUGGCAAUGCAACUGAGGCUUUUUAAAAACCCCUUUUAUUUUACUUAGGAUAUUAACUCGUGCCUUAUUAGAGGGGUGACCCUACUGUUGUUUAUGAGAUACUGCGCAAUGCUCGCUUUCAUCCCAGGAAGGCUUCCUUUUUUUUUUUUUUUUCUUUUAACUCUCGAAAAAAAAUUUUUAAUACACCUUAUUUUUUAGAGCAGCUCUUUGUUUUAAAGAUUUUAUUUAUUCAUGAGAGACACAGAGAGAGAGAGAGGCAGAGACGGAGAAGCAGGCUCCAAAAUGAGGAGCCUGAUGUGGGACUCGAUCCCGGAAUCCUGGGAUCACAACCUGAGCCAAAGGCAGACGUUCACCUGAGCCACCCAGGUG
rnacentral:lncRNA from 1 species